rnacentral:rRNA from 1 species
UACGUAGGGGGCGAGCGUUGUCCGGAAUCAUUGGGCGUAAAGCGCGUGUAGGCGGCCCGGUAAGUCCGCUGUGAAGGUCCAGGGCUCAACCCCUGGGAUGCCGGUGGAUACUGUCGGGCUCGAGUCCGGAAGAGGCGAGUGGAAUUCCUGGUGUAGCGGUGAAAUGCGCAGAUAUCAGAAGGAACACCAAUGGCGAAGGCAGCUCGCUGGGACGUGACUGACGCUGAGACGCGAAAGCGUGGGGAGCAAACAGG